rnacentral:rRNA from 1 species
UGGGGAAUUUUGGACAAUGGGCGCAAGCCUGAUCCAGCCAUGCCGCGUGCGGGAAGAAGGCCUUCGGGUUGUAAACCGCUUUUGUCAGGGAAGAAAUCUUCUGAGUUAAUACCUCGGGAGGAUGACGGUACCUGAAGAAUAAGCACCGGCUAACUACGUGCCAGCAGCCGCGGUAAUACGUAGGGUGCAAGCGUUAAUCGGAAUUACUGGGCGUAAAGCGUGCGCAGGCGGUUUUGUAAGACAGAGGUGAAAUCCCCGGGCUCAACCUGGGAACUGCCUUUGUGACUGCAAGGCUUGAGUGCGGCAGAGGGGGGAUGGAAUUCCGCGUGUAGCAGUGAAAUGCGUAGAUAUGCGGAGGAACACCGAUGGCGAAGGCAAUCCCCUGGGCCUGCACUGACGCUCAUGCACGAAAGCGUGGGGGAGCAAAACAGGAUUAGAUACCCUGGUAGUCCACGCCCUAAACGAUGUCAACUGGUUGUUGGGAAGGUUCCUUCUCAGUAACGUAGCUAACGCGUGAAGUUGACCGCCUGGGGGAGUACGGCCGCAAGG